CAGUAUGAUUAGAGGGGUUUUGCUGCUGGCCUGCAAAGGCAUGUGCGCGCCCCUCGACUUCAAUCCACAUACACCUGUGCACCCAAUGGCUUGUCAGUCUCCCAGCCUUCGCGGGCUGAGUUUCCCUCGAGAGAGGGGAAAGAGCUGGUGGGCCAUUAAAACAUAUACACCAAUACCUGUUAUAACGCAUGUUUAUCUGCUCUACGGAGCUUUAACAAAAUA
rnacentral:misc_RNA from 1 species